rnacentral:tRNA from 1 species
GGCGUGGUAGCUCAGUUGGUUAGAGCGUUUGAUUCAUAAUCAAGAGGUCGAGAGUUCAAUUCUCUCCCACGCUA